rfam:Triticum aestivum genome assembly, contig: Triticum_aestivum_CS42_TGACv1_scaffold_051016_1BS
UUUCUACUCCCUCCGUCCGAAAAUACUUGUCAUCAAAAUGGAUAAAAGGAGAUGUAUCUAAAACUAAAAUACGUCUAGAUACAUUUCCUUUUAUCCAUUUUGAUGACAAGUAUUUCCGGACGGAGGGAGUAUUUG